ACAACUUUAAUUAAUAUAUAUAUGUGCGUGUGUGUGUAUUUUUGUGUGUUUGAUGUUCAGUGAGAUCAUUAAAGGAAGAGUUGCAAUUACUUCAGGAACUUGGAUCUUAUGUUGGUGAAGUUGUCAAAGUUAUGGGGAAAUCAAAGGUUCUGGUGAAGGUGAUACCCUAACCAUUGUUAAGGCAUUUGUUAUCACUGUUACGGUCCGGAGACCGUACUUAUUCUCCCAAGUAAUGCCAGAGUGGAAUGCUCGAUGAGGUACUCGACGGAGAAAACAUCAAGUGGACUUACAAGUUGGUUGGCUGCCUCUGAUUGCUUCAUCUGUGAUUUUGCACUCGAUGAGCUUGGUCGUUCAUAGUUGUACUUUUUAGUCGACCUUAGGAUUGUACUGCAGUUUGAUACAUAUUUAUUUAUUCACGUAUUACUUUUGGAUUUGGGGAUCAAGUGUUAGCAAGUUGUUAGUUGGUUGUUAUGGUGUAUGGCAUGGUGAGUUUUGAAGAUGUUUUAAAGUACUAUUAACGUCUAGUUUUCUAUUUUUGACACGAAUAUGAAUGUUGUUGGAUUGAUGUCAUUGUGUAGAUAUG